rnacentral:rRNA from 1 species
GAUGAACGCUGGCGGCGUGCCUAAUACAUGCAAGUCGAGCGAACGGACGAGAAGCUUGCUUUUCUGAUGUUAGCGGCGGACGGGUGAGUAACACGUGGAUAACCUACCUAUAAGACUGGGAUAACUUCGGGAAACCGGAGCUAAUACCGGAUAAUAUUUUGAACCGCAUGGUUCAAAAGUGAAAGACGGUCUUGCUGUCACUUAUAGAUGGAUCCGCGCUGCAUUAGCUAGUUGGUAAGGUAACGGCUUACCAAGGCAACGAUGCAUAGCCGACCUGAGAGGGUGAUCGGCCACACUGGAACUGAGACACGGUCCAGACUCCUACGGGAGGCAGCAGUAGGGAAUCUUCCGCAACGGGCGAAAGCCUGACGGAGCAACGCCGCGUGAGUGAUGAAGGUCUUCGGAUCGUAAAACUCUGUUAUUAGGGAAGAACAUAUGUGUAAGUAACUGUGCACAUCUUGACGGUACCUAAUCAGAAAGCCACGGCUAACUACGUG